rnacentral:rRNA from 1 species
UGGGGAAUAUUGCACAAUGGGGGGAACCCUGAUGCAGCAACGCCGCGUGAGUGAAGAAGUAUUUCGGUAUGUAAAGCUCUGUCAGCAGGGAAGAUAAUGACGGUACCUGACCAAGAAGCCCCGGCUAACUACGUGCCAGCAGCCGCGGUAAUACGUAGGGGGCAAGCGUUAUCCGGAUUUACUGGGUGUAAAGGGAGCGCAGGCGGCAGGGCAAGUCAGAUGUGAAAGCCCGGGGCUCAACCCCGGGACUGCAUUUGAAACUGUCCGGCUGGAGUGCAGGAGAGGCAGGCGGAAUUCCUAGUGUAGCGGUGAAAUGCGUAGAUAUUAGGAGGAACACCAGUGGCGAAGGCGGCCUGCUGGACUGUAACUGACGCUGAGGCUCGAAAGCGUGGGGAGCAAA